UACGUAGGGUGCGAGCGUUAAUCGGAAUUACUGGGCGUAAAGCGUGCGCAGGCGGUUCUAUAAGACAGAUGUGAAAUCCCCGGGCUUAACCUGGGAACUGCGUUUGUGACUGUAGGACUGGAGUGUGGCAGAGGGGGGUGGAAUUCCACGUGUAGCAGUGAAAUGCGUAGAGAUGUGGAGGAACACCGAUGGCGAAGGCAGCCCCCUGGGUCAACACUGACGCUCAUGCACGGAAGCGUGGGGAGCAAACAGG
rnacentral:misc_RNA from 1 species